CCUACGGGAGGCAGCAGUGGGGAAUAUUGGGCAAUGGGCGCAAGCCUGACCCAGCAACGCCGCGUGAAGGAAGAAGGCUUUCGGGUUGUAAACUUCUUUUAUUAGGGACGUAGAAAGAGACGGUACCUGAUGAAUAAGCCACGGCUAACUACGUGCCAGCAGCCGCGGUAAUACGUAGGUGGCAAGCGUUAUCCGGAUUUACUGGGUGUAAAGGGCGUGUAGGCGGGAGGGCAAGUCAGAUGUGAAAGCUAUGGGCUCAACCCAUAGCUUGCAUUUGAAACUGUAAGUCUUGAGUACUGGGGAGGCAAGCGGAAUUCCGGGUGUAGCGGUGAAAUGCGUAGAUAUUAGGAAGAACACCAAUGGCGAAGGCAGCUUACUAAACAGUGACUGACAUUGAGGCUCGAAAGCGUGGGGAGCAAACAGGAUUAGAUACCCGAGUAGUC
rnacentral:rRNA from 1 species